UACGUAGGGUGCAAGCGUUGUCCGGAAUUAUUGGGCGUAAAGAGCUCGUAGGCGGUUUGUCGCGUCUGCUGUGAAAACUCGGGGCUUAACCCCGGGCCUGCAGUGGGUACAGGCAGACUAGAGUGCGGUAGGGGAGACUGGAAUUCCUGGUGUAGCGGUGAAAUGCGCAGAUAUCAGGAGGAACACCGGUGGCGAAGGCGGGUCUCUGGGCCGUAACUGACGCUGAGGAGCGAAGGCAUGGGGAGCGAACAGG
rnacentral:rRNA from 1 species